GCCCCAGACUCCUACGGGAGGCAGCAGUGGGGAAUAUUGCACAAUGGGCGCAAGCCUGAUGCAGCCAUGCCGCGUGUAUGAAGAAGGCCUUCGGGUUGUAAAGUACUUUCAGCGGGGAGGAAGGCGAUAAGGUUAAUAACCUUGUCGAUUGACGUUACCCGCAGAAGAAGCACCGGCUAACUCCGUGCCAGCAGCCGCGGUAAUACGGAGGGUGCAAGCGUUAAUCGGAAUUACUGGGCGUAAAGCGCACGCAGGCGGUCUGUCAAGUCGGAUGUGAAAUCCCCGGGCUCAACCUGGGAACUGCAUUCGAAGCUGGCAGGCUGGAGGCUUGUAGAGGGGGGUAGAAUUCCAGGUGUAGCGGUGAAAUGCGUAGAGAUCUGGAGGAAUACCGGUGGCGGAGGCGGCCCCCUGGACAAAGACUGACGCUCAGGGGCGAAAGCGUGGGGAGCAGACAGGAUUAGAUACCCCGGUACCC
rnacentral:rRNA from 1 species